GUGCUCUCUUUGGCACCACAUAUACUGAGAUUGGAAUUAUACAGGGAGAAUUAGCGCGGCUUCUGCGCAAGGAUGACAUGCAAAUUCGCGAAGCAUUCCAUAUUUUU